AUACAGAGGGUGCGAGCGUUAAUCGGAAUUACUGGGCGUAAAGCGCGCGUAGGCGGCUACUUAAGUCAGAUGUGAAAUCCCCGGGCUCAACCUGGGAACUGCAUCUGAUACUGGGUAGCUAGAGUUUAGGAGAGGGAAGUAGAAUUUCAGGUGUAGCGGUGAAAUGCAUAGAGAUCUGAAGGAAUACCAGUGGCGAAGGCGGCUUCCUGGCCUAAACCUGACGCUGAGGUGCGAAAGCGUGGGUAGCAAACGGGAUUAGAUACCCCAGUAGUCC
rnacentral:rRNA from 1 species